rnacentral:rRNA from 1 species
UACGUAGGGGGCUAGCGUUAUCCGGAAUUACUGGGCGUAAAGGGUGCGUAGGUGGUUUUUUAAGUCAGGGGUGAAAUCCUGGAGCUCAACUCCAGAACUGCCUUUGAUACUGAGGAUCUUGAGUUCGGGAGAGGUGAGUGGAACUGCGAGUGUAGAGGUGAAAUUCGUAGAUAUUCGCAAGAACACCAGUGGCGAAGGCGGCUCUCUGGCCCGAUACUGACGCUGAGGCACGAAAGCGUGGGGAGCAAACAGG